UAUGACACAACAACUGUUCGUCUUUGAUUUCUUUACUCUCCAUUAAUUAUUGGAGGCAUGCUCGUUGGCAUAAAAAAGUCAAAAACGAACAGAAAGCCUCCCUGUUGGGAGGCUUUUUUUAU
rnacentral:ncRNA from 1 species